CACGUAGGGCGCAAGCGUUGUCCGGAAUUAUUGGGCGUAAAGAGCUCGUAGGCGGUCUGUUACGUCUGCUGUGAAAACCCAGGGCUUAACCCUGGGCUUGCAGUGGAUACGGGCAGACUAGAGGCAGGUAGGGGAGAAUGGAAUUCCCGGUGUAGCGGUGAAAUGCGCAGAUAUCUGGAGGAACACCGGUGGCGAAGGCGGCAUCCUGGACCGACACUGACGCUGAGGAGCGAAAGCCAGGGGAGCAAACGGG
rnacentral:rRNA from 1 species